CAAAAAUGAUUCACAAAUAGAACUUUCAGUUUCCUGCUACCUCCCCAAUUAAAAUAGUAACUACAAUUUCCUCCCAUUAGUUUCUUCUCUAUUCUAACACAACAUCAAACCCAGGUCAGUCUGUACGCCCACAGGAAAAAGCAAUGGGGGUGGAAAUUAUCAGAUAUUACCUGUUACUAGGACCUUCAGAGGCUUAAAAAGCAAAGUUAAUUCUUCCCAUUAAUGAGAAGGAUAGAGGUAGUUCAUGUGUCAGCCAACAGAGGAAUAUAUGAAGGGAAAAAAAGAAGAAAUUGCUAGAGAAAGAUCCAGGUAAUUUUAGUUUGAUUAUACAGUUUAUUUUCCUUUUUAAUGAAAUAAGGAGUUGGUACCGUUUGGAUAUCAAUCUUCUGAUUUAUAGGUCUAGGAGCUUAUGAUUAUAGGUAUUACUUAUUCUUAGGUAAGUGGGAGGAGUUUUCUAUGAAAAUUGUAUGGAAAGUUCAUUAAACUCCAUUUUGCUUGCUGACAUGAAGAAAGCAAAAUCCAUCUUUUUCUUGCAAUGAUUUCCUCAACAGAAAGCUGAUGGAACAGGAAUAAUCACAAGAUAUCCUGCCAAGUGUGAUAUGCAUGGUGGAUUGGAGUGUAUCUGGUGGUUCCUUCCCCUGAGCCUAGGAGGGAACUUAAAUUAACAACAUGUGGAAGAACAUUGUGUGGCAAUGGAAAACUUCAUGGAGUUUGUUUAGUUAUAAGGCAUAUAGGAAGCAGCUGAAUGUCAACCAACAACUGCUAUAUGCCAACUCAAUGUCAACCUAGAUAGAAGCCCUCAGUAAGCUAGGCACUGUGGACUUCAGUGAAUAACUACAAAGAGGAAGGGGAGAAUGACAUGCAAGAGUUGUGCACGGCUAGAAAACAAGGUGAGUGAGUUUCCCUGACAUACAGCAAUCUGGAAUGAAAUUUGUGCAAAGUCUGAAGAAGUUCCUGUUGUCUCAGAAUCAGAUAAACAUCACUAGUCUCUGCAAAUAGCAAUGGCAGCCCCAAAGCCAAGAACACACUUUGCUUAUGUGUGUUGGUAGUAUCUGGGGUUUAUGACUGUAUAAGCUAACCCACUAGGUUUUUCUCAGGCAGAGACUAGCACAGCAUCUAGCAUAUGAUAUUGCUGUAAAAUAGCUGUAUUCAAAUAACAACACCAAAUCUCACAUGAACGAGUCAUUUAUUCCUACUAUUGGUUUGCCACCUUUAGGAAAAACUAUAACAUCAACCUAGAUUAGAAAAAGACACAUCCUGGGUGACAUCCUUUUUAUCUGCGAG
rnacentral:lncRNA from 1 species